GAUGAACGCUGGCGGCGUGCUUAACACAUGCAAGUCGAGCGAAGCAGUUAAGAAGAUUCUUCGGAUGAUUCUUGACUGACUGAGCGGCGGACGGGUGAGUAACGCGUGGGUGACCUGCCCCAUACCGGGGGAUAACAGCUGGAAACGGCUGCUAAUACCGCAUAAGCGCACAGAGCUGCAUGGCUCGGUGUGAAAAACUCCGGUGGUAUGGGAUGGGCCCGCGUCUGAUUAGGCAGUUGGCGGGGUAACGGCCCACCAAACCGACGAUCAGUAGCCGGCCUGAGAGGGCGACCGGCCACAUUGGGACUGAGACACGGCCCAAACUCCUACGGGAGGCAGCAGUGGGGAAUAUUGCACAAUGGGGGAAACCCUGAUGCAGCGACGCCGCGUGAGCGAAGAAGUAUUUCGGUAUGUAAAGCUCUAUCAGCAGGGAAGAUA
rnacentral:rRNA from 1 species